AGUGAACGCUGGCGGUAGGCCUAACACAUGCAAGUCGAACGGCAGCACAGUAAGAGCUUGCUCUUACGGGUGGCGAGUGGCGGACGGGUGAGGAAUACAUCGGAAUCUACUUUUUCGUGGGGGAUAACGUAGGGAAACUUACGCUAAUGCCGCAUACGACCUACGGGUGAAAGCAGGGGAUCUUCGGACCUUGCGCGAUUGAAUGAGCCGAUGUCGGAUUAGCUAGUUGGCGGGGUAAAGGCCCACCAAGGCGACGAUCCGUAGCUGGUCUGAGAGGAUGAUCAGCCACACUGGAACUGAGACACGGUCCAGACUCCUACGGGAGGCAGCAGUGGGGAAUAUUGGACAAUGGGCGCAAGCCUGAUCCAGCCAUACCGCGUGGGUGAAGAAGGCCUUCGGGUUGUAAAGACCUUUUGUUGGGAAAGAAAAGCAGCAGGUUAAUACCCCGCUGUUCUGACGGUACCCAAAGAAUAAGCACCGGCUAACUUCGUG
rnacentral:rRNA from 1 species